UACGUAGGGCGCAAGCGUUAUCCGGAAUUAUUGGGCGUAAAGAGCUCGUAGGCGGUUUGUCGCGUCUGCCGUGAAAGUCCGGGGCUCAACUCCGGAUCUGCGGUGGGUACGGGCAGACUAGAGUGAUGUAGGGGAGACUGGAAUUCCUGGUGUAGCGGUGAAAUGCGCAGAUAUCAGGAAGAACACCCGUGGCUAAGGCGGCUCUCUAGUACGGUACUGACGCUGAGACGCGAAAAGCGUGGGGGAGCGAACAGGAUAG
rnacentral:rRNA from 1 species